rnacentral:lncRNA from 1 species
ACAGUAUUAUACUUCCAGUGUAAGAAGAACCAUGGUGAAGAGAUUGAAUUAUAUGGGAGUAUCGAAUACGCCAAACUGCCCACUAUCCAACCAGUCAAUGAGUGAUGGAAAAUGACUUAUAGUUUAUCUGAAACGCCCUAUUACUCAUCCGAACAGAAAUUAAUAUGCUGUCAAAUUGAUCUUUUCAGUUGGAGGUUUAAAUCAACAGAAGACACCUCCCGAUUUAGAAUUUAUUUUAUUUUAUUUUAUAAUUAAUAUUAUUACAUAUAUUUUUUUCCGUCCUUUUUACGAUGUUCAAUUGGAAGUUACAAUUGUAAAAUCUUCAAUUUUUUUUUUUGUUCUUCAUUCGUUUUGUAAUCUCAAAUUCGGCAUUAAAGUUGAUUAUUAACGGUUAAAAUCCUUCUGCUCUUACAAGCUUAGUUCAAAUGUGUCUAUUCAAAAUCCUAAUCAAGAAUAACUUGAUGUGGUCGAGAAAAAUGAA